CACAGUCCAAUAACACCAGCAUAAACACGUAACAGUCCAAUAACACCAGCAUAAACACGUAACAGUCCAAUAACACCAGCAUAAACACGUAACAGUCCAAUAACACCAGCAUAAACACGUAACACCACAGUCCAAUAACACCAGCAUAAACACGUAACACAGUCCAAUAACACCAGCAUAAACACGUAACACAGUCCAAUAACACCAGCAUAAACAUGUAACACAGUCCAAUAACACCAGCAUAAACAGGUAACACAGUCCAAUAACACCAACAUAAACAUGUAACACAGUCCAAUAACACCAGCAUAAACACGUAACACAGUCCAAUAACACCAGCAUAAACAUGUAACACAGUCCAAUAACACCAGCAUAAACACGUAACACAGUCCAAUAACACCAACAUAAACAUGUAACAGUCCAAUAACACCAGCAUAAACACGUAACACCACAGUCCAAUAACACCAGCAUAAACACGUAACACAGUCCAAUAACACCAGCAUAAACAUGUAACACAGUCCAAUAACACCAGCAUAAACAGGUAACACAGUCCAAUAACACCAGCAUAAACAGGUAACACAGUCCAAUAACACCAGCAUAAACAGGUAACACAGUCCAAUAACACCAGCAUAAACAGGUAACACAGUCCAAUAACACCAGCAUAAACAUGUAACACAGUCCAAUAACACCAGCAUAAAGAAAAUAGCCCAUAAAGUACCCUCCUUCCAAACACAACCUUACUUGACUUCAGAAAUACACUCAUUAUGCCAGUAGGACAUGCUGAGAAUGAUAAACACAAUACCCACUGACACACACGAUGCAGGAAUGCACACACACACACACACACACACACACACACACAAACACACAAAAACUCCCACUAUCAAAACAGGUCUAUACACCCAAACACAUAGAUUGGUAACUAAGGACAGAAAAACCUAGGAGAAUAACAAUCCUGCCUAGAGGUCACUGAAUCAAAUAAAUUAAACACGUGUGCAUGGGGACGUCUCAGUCAUAUUUCUGUGUAAGGGAUCUUCUCAUAUUUCUGUGUAAGGGAUCUUCUCAUAUGUCUGUGUAAGGGAUCUUCUCAUAUGUCUGUGUAAGGGAUCUUCUCAUAUGUCUGUGUAAGGGAUCUUCUCAUAUGUCUGUGUAAGGGAUCUUCUCAUAUGUCUGUGUAAGGGAU
rnacentral:lncRNA from 1 species